CACGUGUGAAACCGUGGAUGAAGAUUGAGUGGAAGUUAGUUAGUUAUUUCAUUUGUAUCGUUUCAUUUCCAGUUGUUUUCUUCAUUGCUUAAACUUUCACAAAAUCAACAAUUCAACAUGGUUGCUUCAUUUUCCCUCGCAAUUGCAUUGCCCAAAUUCAAGGUCGUGGCUGAAGCUGCUGAUUCAUUAUUCCCUUCCUUUCUUCCCAAAGACGUUAACACAAUCAAAGACCCAUUCGCUCGAACACUUGCUACCCGGAUUCAGAGACUUCCCGUAUCGGUUAAGUUCUCUGAAAAUCCUAUCAUGAGUAGUUGUGUGAAGCCGCUGAUGCAGAACAAGGCAAAUCCAGUUGUACUUUUACACGGUUUUGACAGCUCAUGCUUAGAAUGGAGAUACACAUAUCCCUUGCUAGAAGAAGCUGGUCUUGAGACAUGGGCUUUUGACAUUCUUGGUUGGGGUUUCUCUGAUCUAGAUAAACUUCCUUCAUGUGAUGUGGUAUCAAAGCGUGAACACUUUUAUCAGUUUUGGAAAUCCUACAUUAAAAAGCCGAUGAUAUUGGUCGGACCAAGCCUUGGGUCUGCUGUUGCCAUUGACUUUGCAAUCAAUUAUCCAGAAGCUGUGGAAAAGCUUGUUUUAAUUGAUGCUAGUGUAUAUACAGAAGGGACAGGAAACUUAGCAACUUUACCUAAAGCGGUAGCCUAUGCUGGGGUAUAUUUGUUAAAGAGCGUCCCGUUACGCCUAUAUGCAAACUAUUUGUCCUUCACUAACAUAUCUUUCAGUACCAGCCUUGACUGGACUAAUAUUGGCCGCUUGCAUUGUUUAUUGCCUUGGUGGGAGGACGCUGCGGUUGAUUUUAUGAUUAGUGGUGGCUACAAUGUUGCUUCCCAAAUAAAAAUGGUAAAGCAGAAAACACUCAUAAUUUGGGGGGAGAAUGACCGCAUAAUCAGCAAUAAGCUUGCUGUGCAACUGCACUGUGAAUUACCAGAUGCAAUUAUACGCCAAAUACCCGAUUGUGGUCACCUUCCUCAUGUUGAAAGACCAGAUUCUGUUGUCAAAUUAAUGUUGGAAUUUGUUCAGAAGGAUACCAAGACAGUAGUAAAUCAAUGUGUUCCAUCAUUAUGAAGAUUGAAUAGAUGGAUAGAUUAUGGGAAAAAGAAACCAAUCUUGAGAAAUUAAUGGUUACCGUGAAAAUAUAUUACCGUGAAACCAACCUCAUUUGGCACUCUCAGGUUCCUUUGAAGGUUUCCAUUUUCUCGUGGCGACUCUUGCGGGACAGGUGGUUACCUACCAAAGUCAACCUGGUUUCUCGAGGCAUCUUGUCACCAUCGGUCGUUUGCUGUUGGCUUAGAACUAGUACUAUUAUUGUAAAUUCCUCCUCAAUUAACAACGAACUGUGUUAUUUACUUUCUUGCAAUUCAUUGUUUUUAAGGGUCUGGACCCCAUUUUAAGGGUGACAAAAAUAGUCACAUGUUUCUGAUAUAUAUAUUUGCCGCUUUCUAA